UUGUUGGCGGUCUGUCAAAUCGCAUACAAUUUCGACGAAAAAAAGUAAAUAUAGCAUAAAAUUUAGUUGAAAGACUAAAAUAAAACAAUCUGGUGGCAAUUUAUUGAAUCGAGAAGACGGUAGUGAGUAGGGCGUUCAAAUAAAAAUUGCAUUCUGUGGCCGCCGUUGCGCUGGCAAAUGGAACGAGUAAGAUUUCCAAAUGAAAUUGAAGCCACAGCAAAUAGUGCAUAGCUCCAAGGCUUGGAAACAAAUAUAGAAGCUAUACGAUGCCAGAAAGACUACAGAGAAUCGAAGAGCGCUAACCAGGAAACAGCGUAAAAGGGCCAAUUCGUUGAGCAAGGGCGUGCUCAUAGCAUGGAAAUACAAUGCAAACGGUGCCAACAUAAAAUUAAACUGCCAAGGCAUAAGCAAGAAAUUUUACCUGAAACUGUGACGCCUGCCCACAGCAUCAAAUAAGGAUAUCGUUCCAAUGAAACCCAAUAUUAACGACGUAUUUUGACGACGAUGAACUCUUUGCGAACGCUCCGGGUUUUCAUCACCGUGCUUGUAAAUUGAUGGCACGGGGCCUCGUUUCAACAAUCUUCUUUUUGCAUAACCUUAGAAAUGUUUUAAACACUUUCAUUAAUAUAAACACAAUAAACGAAAUAAAUAAACAUCCUA
rnacentral:lncRNA from 1 species